rnacentral:rRNA from 1 species
GACGAACGCUGGCGGCGUGCUUAACACAUGCAAGUCGAACGGAAAGGCCCUGCUUUUGUGGGGUGCUCGAGUGGCGAACGGGUGAGUAACACGUGAGUAACCUGCCCUUGACUUUGGGAUAACUUCAGGAAACUGGGGCUAAUACCGGAUAGGAGCUCCUGCUGCAUGGUGGGGGUUGGAACGUUUCGGCGGUUGGGGAUGGACUCGCGGCUUAUCAGCUUGUUGGUUGGGUAGUGGCUUACCAAGGCAUUGACGGGUAGCCGGCCUGAGAGGGUGACCGGCCACAUUGGGACUGAGAUACGGCGCAGACUCCUACGGGAGGCAGCAGUGGGGAAUAUUGCACAAUGGGCGGAAGCCUGAUGCAGCAACGCCGCGUGCGGGAUGACGGCCUUCGGGUUGUAAACCGCUUUCGCCUGUGACGAAGCGUGAGUGACGGUAAUGGGUAAAGAAGCACCGGCUAACUACGUG